rnacentral:tRNA from 1 species
UAUUUAUAUAGUUUAAUUAAAACAUUACAUUUUCAUUGUAAAAUUAGAAAACUUUUCUUAUAAAU